GGAGAACGCUGGCGGCGUGCUUAACACAUGCAAGUCGAACGGAGAUUGAAGAGUCAGUUUACUGAAACUUUAAUCUUAGUGGCGGACGGGUGAGUAACGCGUGGGUAACCUGCCCUGAACACCGGGACAACAGCUGGAAACGGCUGCUAAUACCGGAUAAUCUCUUGAAUCGGCAUCGAUUUAAGAGGAAAGGUGGCCUCUUUUAAUGCUACCGAUUAAGGAUGGACCCGCGUCUGAUUAGCUAGUUGGUAAGGUAGCGGCUUACCAAGGCGACGAUCAGUAGCCGGCCUGAGAGGGUGACCGGCCACACUGGGACUGAGACACGGCCCAGACUCCUACGGGAGGCAGCAGUGGGGAAUCUUCCGCAAUGGGCGAAAGCCUGACGGAGCAACGCCGCGUGAAUGAAGAAGGCCUUCGGGUCGUAAAGUUCUGUUGAAAGGGAAGAAGUCUUUUGGCGUGAAUAAUGCCAAGAGAUGACGGUACCUUUUGAGGAAGCUCCGGCUAACUACGUG
rnacentral:rRNA from 1 species